rnacentral:rRNA from 1 species
AUUGAACGCUGGCGGCAGGCCUAACACAUGCAAGUCGAACGAGUGGCGGACGGGUGAGUAAUGUCUGGGAAACUGCCUGAUGGAGGGGGAUAACUACUGGAAACGGUAGCUAAUACAGCAUACCAUCGGAUGUGCCCAGAUGGGAUGAGCUAGUAGGGGGGGUAACGGCUCACCAAGGCGACGAUCCCUAGCUGGUCUGAGAGGAUGACCAGCCAAACUGGAACUGAGACACGGUCCAGACUCCUACGGGAGGCAGCAGUGGGGAAUAUUGCACAAUGGGCGCAAGCCUGAUGGAGCCAUGCCGCGUGUAUGAAGAAGGCCUUCGGGUUGUAAAGUACUGUCAGCAGGGAGGCGUUACCCGCAGAAGAAGCACCGGCUAACUCCGUGCCAGCAGCCGCGGUAAUAC